CAAUAGCAUAUAUUAAUUCUGCUGCAGUUAAAGCGUCCGUAGUUGAUAAGAGCAAUCUUUGACAACCAUCGAAUGAUGGGCGUGAAAGUUGCAUAGCACACCUUGUGCUGGUCUUAAACUUUGAGCAAAUUGAAUUGUUUAUCUCGAUCUCGUAUUGAACAGCUCAUCAUUGUAUUUGACACCAAACACUGACGAUCACUGAGACGUGUUCACUAGUGGAUAAGAUAAAGGGAAAUAUGAAGGUGAGUGUACUUGUUGGAGAGAGGUGAAAUUCUGAGACCCAACAAAGACAAACUAUCGCGAAAGCAAUCACCUAGUAUUUACCAGCUAA
rnacentral:rRNA from 1 species